ensembl:lncRNA
CCUGCCGGUUGUAACUACAGCAAAUGUGAUUAUUUACCCAGGCGAACAGUAACUGGUGCAGACCACGGCAUACUCGCAGAAAAGUAUGCAACUUAGACAACCUAUGUUCUCUGAAUGUGGCCUCUGCAGAUUCCCUCUCAUUCUCUGUCGGACUCUGGAACUGCCAAUCUGCCAUCAACAAGGCAGAUUUCAUUCCUGCCUUUGCAACCCACUACAACCUCAGUGUGCUGGCUCUGACUGAGACCUGGAUCCAUGCUGAGAACACUGCCACACCCACUGCCCUAGCCUCCAACUUCAACUUCUCCCAUACCUCAUGUCCCAACAGAAGAGUGGGUGGUACAGGUCAACUGGGGAACAUCAUCGAUGAAUUUGACAUGCUACUGUCC